rnacentral:rRNA from 1 species
UUAAGCAUAUCAAUAAGCGGAGGAAAAGAAACCAACAGGGAUUGCCUCAGUAGCGGCGAGUGAAGCGGCAAAAGCUCAAAUUUGAAAUCUGGCGUCUUUGGCGUCCGAGUUGUAAUUUGAAGAAGGUAUCUUUGGGCCCGGCUCUUGUCUAUGUUCCUUGGAACAGGACGUCACAGAGGGUGAGAAUCCCGUGCGAUGAGAUGACCCGGGUCUGUGUAAAGUUCCUUCGACGAGUCGAGUUGUUUGGGAAUGCAGCUCUAAGUGGGUGGUAAAUUCCAUCUAAAGCUAAAUAUUGGCGAGAGACCGAUAGCGAACAAGUACAGUGAUGGAAAGAUGAAAAGAACUUUGAAAAGAGAGUGAAAAAGUACGUGAAAUUGUUGAAAGGGAAGGGCUUGAGAUCAGACUUGGUAUUUUGCAUGCUGCUCUCUCGGGGGCGGCCGCUGCGGUUUACCGGGCCAGCAUCGGUUUGGAGCGGCAGGAUAAUGGCGGAGGAAUGUGGCACGGCUUCUGCUGUGUGUUAUAGCCUCUGACGAUACUGCCAGCCUAGACCGAGGACUGCGGUUUUUACCUAGG